GUUUGUUUUUAUUAACAAACAUAUUUUUACCAGCAUUUAACCCUGUUUUUUAAUUGUGAGGAAAAAGCAUUGAAAAUUGAUUUUGUUUUCAAAAAUGCAAACAAAAUAUAAAGGAACUGUCGAACUCUGGUAUGUCAUCUUUGGCCACAGAGGUGUUUCAAACUUACCUCCGUGAAUAUUAGAGCCACAUCAUUGAUGAGACUCAAACUUCCAUAUUGUGUGCGGUUCCUGGAUGGCUCCUAAUACUCAAAUAUCAAGUUGAACUAUAAAUGGAGAUAUCUGUCUAACUACAGACUGAUGGACAUUUUCCCCUGGAGGCAAACAUCUAAUUAACAACUAAAUACAUUGUUUCUGGUUCCGGAAUAUGGUGGUUAAAUUGGAAAACGUCCCCUUGUCGAUAUUGAGGAAUUUUGAGUGUGACCAUGGAUAAAAUGUAUGUAUUCUCGCAUGGACGGUUUUCAGGUGAUGGAGUUUGUGGGACCGCUGCUGCCGCCUCUGCCGUUACCAGACGAUCUGCCCGCAAUGCAAUAAUACCUAAUAAAUUAUUUAACAUGAUGCAUCUGGCAUGUUUUGUAUAUGGCGCGAGAGAAAUGACAGCCGCUAGUGGUUGGCCAUCAUCCUCGUCGUGGUCUUUUCCAUGUUAAAUCUCAUAUUCAAGGAAACUUCCAUCACACACAACAGUCCUUGUUUGUGGCGUAUGUACAUAUAUAUUCAAUUUCAUAAGAGGAUUAUCGGAAUUCUGAAUAAAGAUUUAUGUGAUUCGGGCAUUAACAGAGCAGAGAUUUAACAUUAAUUUUACAGACGAUAUUAACGGAAAGUUAAACUAAAGUU